UUGCCCCAGUAACGGCGAGUGAAGCGGCAACAGCUCAAAUUUGAAAUCUGGCCUCGGCCCGAGUUGUAAUUUGCAGAGGAUGCUUCUGGCGAGGCACCGACCGAGUCCCCUGGAACGGGGCGCCAUAGAGGGUGAGAGCCCCGUAUGGUCGGACGCUUAGCCUGUGUGAAGCUCCUUCGACGAGUCGAGUAGUUUGGGAAUGCUGCUCAAAAUGGGAGGUAAAUUUCUUCUAAAGCUAAAUACCGGCCAGAGACCGAUAGCGCACAAGUAGAGUGAUCGAAAGAUGAAAAGCACUUUGAAAAGAGGGUUAAAUAGCACGUGAAAUUGUUGAAAGGGAAGCGCUUGUGACCAGACUUGCGCCUGGCCGAUCAUCCGGGGUUCUCCCCGGUGCACUCGGCCAGGCUCAGGCCAGCAUCGGUUCUCUCGGGGGGACAAAGGCUCCGGGAACGUAGCUCCCUCCGGGGAGUGUUAUAGCCCGGGGCGUAAUGCCCUCGAGGGGACCGAGGACCGCGCUUCGGCAAGGAUGCUGGCGUUACGGUCAUCAGCGACCCGUCUUGAAACACGGACCAAGGAGUCAAGGUUUUGCGCGAGUGUUUGGGUGUAAAACCCGCACGCGUAAUGAAAGUAAACGUAGGUGAGAGCUUCGGCGCAUCAUCGACCGGCCCAGAUGUUCUCGGAAGGGCCUGAGUAGGAGCGUUAAGCCUUGGACCCGAAAGAUGGUGAACUAUGCUUGGAUAGGGUGAAGCCAGAGGAAACUCUGGUGGAGGCUCGCAGCGGUUCUGACGUGCAAAUCGAUCGUCAAAUCUGAGCAU
rnacentral:rRNA from 1 species